AGUGGGGAAUAUUGGGCAAUGGAGGAAACUCUGACCCAGCGACGCCGCGUGCGGGAUGAAGGCCUUCGGGUUGUAAACCGCUUUCAGCAGGGAAUAAGCGCAAGUGAAGGUACCUGCAGAAGAAGCACCGGCUAACUAUGUGCCAGCAGCCGCGGUAAUACAUAGGGUGCAAGCGUUGUCCGGAAUUAUUGGGCGUAAAGAGCUCGUAGGUGGUUUGUUACGUCGGUUGUGAAAUUCAGGGGCUCAACCCCUGACUUGCAGCCGAUACGGGCAAGCUAGAGUUUGGUAGGGGAGACUGGAAUUCCUGGUGUAGCGGUGGAAUGCGCAGAUAUCAGGAGGAACACCGAUGGCGAAGGCAGGUCUCUGGGCCAAUACUGACACUGAGGAGCGAAAGCGUGGGGAGCGAACAGGAUUA
rnacentral:rRNA from 1 species